GACGAACGCUGGCGGCGUGCUUAACACAUGCAAGUCGAGCGGUAAGGCCCUUUCGGGGGUACGACGAGCGGCGAACGGGUGAGUAACACGUGGGUGACCUCGCCCUCCAGCUCUGGGAUAAGCCUGGGAAACCGGGUCUAAUACUGGAUAUGACUCCAUGACGCAUGUUGUGGGGUGGAAAGCCUUGUGCGGCUGAGGAUGGGCCCGCGGCCUAUCAGCUUGUUGGUGGGGGUGAGGCCUACCAAGGCGACGACGGGUA
rnacentral:rRNA from 1 species